AGAUUUUUCAUCCACUGAUAUGCUGCCACGUCACCAUCAACAAUACAUAAGAAUUUUAGCCCAACAGGAUCGUGACACCUCAUCAGUCAAUGCCACAUCAUCGGUCAAUGCCACGUCAUCGAUCCGUCUAUGUGAACAGUGUUGUGAACAGUAACGUAGUUAGUACCGUACACGUGAAUAGUACCGUACAUAUGAAUAGUGCUAUUUUUCCUUUUAUGCUCCUCCUAAGGUUUUCGACCGUCCUGAGUUCAAAAGUGAUGUCCGUUUUGCCGUCUGAUUUCUCCUUUAUUGUGAAAUGACUAUAAUGCCCUUAAAAUACAUAAAAUACUUAAUUAAAAUAAAACACAUGUAAUUAAAUCACAAGAAGGUUAAAUACAUAAAAGUAAGGGUUGUUAGUAAGACUUGAAAUGUAAAAUAACGGUUUUCUCCUUUAUAAAUAUGCAUUUUCUAACACUCAACAGAUCCGUAUCAACAUGUAUCAUGGGAUAAAUAAUCCAUAUUAAUGCCAAUUAAAUCAUGAGGGGGGAAUCCACACUUCAUGAACCACGCUCUAAUCAAUAGGGUGCUAAGGGCUUAUCGUGCCAAAUAAUAAUAACCUUGUACUAGAGGGCCGGUGAAACUAAGGCGGUACUAGACAAGAUUAGUAUUAUUUGUCGACGAGAAGUCAAAAUAAGAAUUUUAGCCCAACAAUAUCGUGACACCUCAUCAGUCAAUGCCACAUCAUCGGUCAAUGCCACGUCAUCGAUCCGUCUAUGUGAACAAUGUCGUGAACAGUAACGUAGACAGUACCGUACACGUGAAUAGUACCGUACAUGUGAAUAGUGUCAUUUUUCCUUUUAUGCUCCUCCUAAGGUUUUCGACUGUCCUGAGUUCAAAAGUGAUGUCCGUUUUGCCGUCUGAUCUCUCCUUUAUUGUGAAAUGACUAUAAUGCCCCUAAAAUACAUAAAAUACUUAAAUAAAAUAAAACACAUGUAAUUAAAUCACAAGAAUGUUAAAUACAUAAAAGUAAGGGUUGUUAGUAAGACUUGAAAUGUAAAAUGACGGUUU
rnacentral:lncRNA from 1 species